rnacentral:lncRNA from 1 species
ACAGGGUGAGAGCUUAUUUACAUUUGAAUGUCCUUUUUGUUUAUCCUGCAGUAGUCCGGCAACUGUCAUAUCUAAAUUACAAUGAUUUAGAUCAAAUUACUCCCGCAUUUCAUUUGGUUGCAUUCUCGACAGGGAUGUCUUGUUGCACCAACUCUCUCAAUAGGAUCUAUUCUUCUCCAGCAAGCCGCCAUUUCUGCCUCCUUCCACUACAAGAACGUGGAAAUCGUAGAAUCAAGGCCAAAUGCAAGAGUAAGAUAUAUGACUAGAACUUUAAUUUCCAUGCAGGUCUGUCUGAGGCACAUUUACUUAUAUCCAAAGUUCCAAAAUAACAAUAGUUUCCACACUAAGAGAAAAUUAAAGAUUGCCAGUAGCAUUAUCGGCGUGGGUGAGAUAUUAAUUUAAGUAAAAUCUUACCCAGCGCACAAAAGAAUUGACGAAGACAAAAUCGUCUUUAAUGAUCAGGAUUUUCCAUCACCAGAUGCAACUCAAAUCGCCAACAACCUCUCCAACCUUGGUCAGAUCUACAACAGAGAAGAUAUUUCAACAGACGUGAAAGUAAGUUGACAUUUUAAAUCACAGCAUGUCAGCACCACAUUGAUAUUAAACAUGAGGCCUUUUCUUUAAACUUUAGUUUUUCCUUUCUGCUCAAUAAGCUUACUACAAGACUCGGGUUUCAGGACUUCACAUUAGAUACUUUCAUGAGCAGUGAGUCAACUAGCUUCCUAACAGAGUUAACUAAACCUAAAGGAUAACACCAUAUUAAUUGCAGAAAACAGAAAAGUCAAAGAUAAAUUCAUUGACAGUGGAUUAUAUCAUUACAAGAUUUAACAGAAGAAGAUAUAAUUUGAAACUUCGAAUACUGCUCUAGAGAACAAUAAUUUGUGAUGACUCAUUUUUCAUGUUCCCCUCCCAGGCAAGGGGUCAAGUCCUGGGAGAAGAUGGAGUUCGUGUGCACAGUAUGGUCCUUCCAGGGCUUCCAUCUAGUACAACGGUUUACUUUUCUAGGCCAGGAGAGGUAGUUUUUUUGUUUUCUUUUUUUUUUUUUUAACUUUUUAGAAGUAGAAGAAACCUAGAUUUGAAUAUUUACCUCUGUCUGAUCCCUUAGUGAUGCUGGCCACAGGUAUACUCCAUCAAACAUGAUAUCACAGAUGUGCAGAGUCUCAUGCCCGGCCUGAUCUUGGCUAUAAGAAAGGUCGUGCAUCUUAAGGUAACCAAUCACAUAAUAUUUCAAACAUUCUGCAUCAACUAAUCACAAAAUAAAACAAUUCUUAUUACCUUUUUUUUCUUUUUCCUUUUUUUGGGGCAGAAUCUGGUGUAUGGUUUGGAAAAGUUCUUGUAGGGACCCAAACUGCUCUUUGACAUC